CCUACGGGUGGCAGCAGUGAGGAAUAUUGGUCAAUGGGCGCUAGCCUGAACCAGCCAAGUAGCGUGAAGGAUGACUGCCCUAUGGGUUGUAAACUUCUUUUAUCUGGGAAUAAAGUCCAGUAUGUAUACUGCUUUGCAUGUAACUUAUGAAUAAGGCAUGGCUAACUCCGUGCCAGCAGCCGCGGUAAUACGGGGGGGUCGAGCGUUAUCCGGUUUUGAUGGGUUUAAAGGGAGCGUAGGCGGGUUGUUAAGUCCAUUGUGAAAGUUUGGGGCUCAACCGUAGAAUUGCAGUUGAUACUGGCAUCCUUGAGUGCAGUAGAAGUAGGCGGAAUGCGUGGUGUAGCGGUGAAAUGCUUAGAUAUCACGAAGAACUCCGAUUGCGAAGGCAGCCUGCUGGACUGUAACUGACGCUGAUGCUCGAAAGUGUGGGUAUCAAACUGGAUUAGAUACCCCUGUAGUC
rnacentral:rRNA from 1 species